ACCACUGAAGAAAAAAAAUGGCCUAUUGCCCCAAAGCCAGGGCCCUAAGUCCUGUAUUGAGUAAAUGAGUUUAACAUUGAAAAGAAGUUUAAAUUAAAAAACAAAAUUUGUUGGUGAUUAUACUUAAAUUUAUGUUGUGUUUGAAUGUUUAGCAUGCAAUUUAUUUCAAAUUUCACCAUUAAAACUUUGUUUUGAGAAGCUGAGAUUUUUUUAAAUAUGUUUUCAGAAUGCAGGAAAUGCUAUUUCAUAGACCCAAAUUUUAAAUAUUUCCUGGGGGGCAUGCCCCCAGACCUGCGGUACUCGGCUCACACCUUCGGCCAUUACAUACUAUCCUGGGGGGAGGGCAAGGAGAAAAUGGGCCCUUUGGCAGUUUUGCCCCACCACUGAAGAAUCCUUAAAAAAUGCACUGGCUUGGACUCAGAUAAUGCGACCACUGUUAUACAUGACUAUGUGUUUACACCAACAUAUGACAAUAGAGUGAUGAGGCAUGUAGCAUACUGACAGUAUGUCAUGUGGAUACAUGGCCAUUUAGGAAAAGGUAAUCGCAAAGUCAUUCACUCAUUCUGUGUUUAAUGGAUAUUAUACCGGCUAUAAAGAUAAAGAUAUAUAGCUGUGACUAAUUGACCUAGAGGGUAAAGGGGGUGGACAGUCAGGGGGUUUAGUAGAACACUAUGGUUAUUUUGUUUGUAUUAUCUGUUAUUGAAACCGAACAAAUAAAAUAUGUACAUUCACAAACAGAAAUUGUAUAUAUGCUCUCUUUAUCCAUGCUGUAAGAAAAUUGAGAAAUUUAAAUCAAGGCCAAAAACACACUCUGUAAAUCUUUGCUUGUGGAGAUAUAAUUUUGGCUGAAGUUUUAUAAAAGAAUCCGAUGCAAAUAACCCUUACCCCCACCUGGCCCUUACACC
rnacentral:lncRNA from 1 species